rnacentral:rRNA from 1 species
CAGUAGCCACGGUAAUACGAGGGGGGCAAGCGUUGUUCGGAGUUAUUGGGCGUAAAGGGUGCGUAGGCGGUUCAGCAAGUCUCGUGUGAAAUCUUCGGGCUCAACCCGAAGUCUGCACGGGAAACUACUGGGCUUGAGUAAUGGAGAGGUGAGUGGAAUUUCCGGUGUAGCGGUGAAAUGCGUAGAUAUCGGAAGGAACACCUGUGGCGAAAGCGGCUCACUGGACAUUUACUGACGCUGAUGCACGAAAGCUAGGGGAGCAAACAGGAUUAGAUACCCCAGUAGUCCCUGUCUCUUAUAC